rnacentral:lncRNA from 1 species
GUAUAGUUUCAAAUGCAACGAUUGAUAAAAAAGUAAUCAAAUUAACUAAAUAUUGUAUUUAGAGGUUGUUUGGUUUGGUGUAAAUAGAGAGGUAAAAGUUCCAUCACUGUUGGUGUUUAUUUUAUUGUAAGUCAAAAAAAUAAUGCAACUCAAGUUACGUUAAGUGUAUAUUUAUUUCACCGAAACUGGACUUUGGGUUGAAGCGAACUUUGGGUUGAAGUGGAGUUUAGUGAAAAUUAUUUCUUUUCCGCUGUUUGUUUCGUAGCUAUGGAAGUGAAGUUCUAUUAGUUCUGCUGUCUGUUUAGUAGGAAGGAUAUGAUGUAAAAGUAUAAUUUAUAUAUAAAUAAUAAAUAUUUUAAUAAAUAAAAAUAAUAUAAGUAUAUUUUUAUAUAAUUAAAAUUUAAUUUAAAACAACUAAAUAAUUUUUUUAUACAUAAAUUAUAGUAAUACAAUAAUAAAAUUAUAAAGUAAAAAAAUUAUUAAUACUUAAUUAAUCAAUUUUUAUCAUAUUUUAAAUGUACAAACUAAAUAAAGAAAAUAUUAAAACUUAACUAAUCAAUUUUUAUCAUAUUUUAGAUAUAUUAACUGAAUAAAAAAAAUUAGUAACAUGAUUAUGUAUAUUUAAAUAUAACCAUCUUUAUCUAUUAUAUUAUUUUAUUAUUUUUUCUUUAUCUUUUUUCACCGUAAUUGACUUCGGCCCACGAUGGGGCGAAGUCAAUUAUACCGUUUAAGGUUAACUCGAGUUUCGACUGUAACUUUUUUACGGCGAGCCAAACAACGAAAGUGACCGUUUAGGAUGAAAACGAUUUCCCUCCUCUCCACUUCCACCCCACUUCUACCCAAACAAACAUGCCCCAUCCACUUCACCAACUUUUGAUUUCUCCCUCUAGAGUACAAAACUCGAUCAAGUUCCAUCACAAUCACUCUCUAAAAAAUUUAUUAAAUAUUAAAGCCUAAACUCUACUUCCUUUAGAGAGGAUUAGAGUUACUUUCUUUUAUAAUGGGUUAAGAUUACUUCUAAAUAAUAAUGAGUAAUUCAAUUAUUUAAUAGUUUGGAUUUUAUAGAGAUGAGUUUAUCACUAUAUUUAAAAGGCAACGAUAUCCACUUACUUACAUCAAAAUAAAUAAUGAGACUUAAAAAAUUAAUUUUAUCAGCAUUAAAUUACAUCAAAAUAAAUAAAAAAAUAAUUAAAUUUAACUUUCAGACCAUACGAGUUACAUUAAAAUAAACAACAAAAAAAUAACCACACUUCAGAAAAAUGUAAAUACUACUGCACUUGAGUUACGGAGGAUCUAAAAAUUUGUCAAUUUAAACACUUUCUU